UACGAAGGGGGCUAGCGUUGCUCGGAAUUACUGGGCGUAAAGGGCGCGCAGGCGGCUCUGAAAGUCAGAUGUGAAAGCCCCGGGCUUAACCUGGGAAUUGCAUUUGAUACUCUGGAGCUUGAGUGUGGGAGAGGAGAGUGGAAUUCCCAGUGUAGAGGUGAAAUUCGUAGAUAUUGGGAAGAACACCGGUGGCGAAGGCGGCUCUCUGGACCACAACUGACGCUGAGGCGCGAAAGCGUGGGGAGCAAACAGG
rnacentral:rRNA from 1 species